UACGAAGGGGGCUAGCGUUGUUCGGAAUUACUGGGCGUAAAGCGCACGUAGGCGGAUAUUUAAGUCAGGGGUGAAAUCCCAGAGCUCAACUCUGGAACUGCCUUUGAUACUGGGUAUCUAGAGUAUGGAAGAGGUGAGUGGAAUUCCGAGUGUAGAGGUGAAAUUCGUAGAUAUUCGGAGGAACACCAGUGGCGAAGGCGGCUCACUGGCCCCGGUACUGACGCUGAG
rnacentral:rRNA from 1 species